UGGGGAAUAUUGCGCAAUGGCCGAAAGGCUGACGCAGCGACGCCGCGUGGGGGAGGAAGGUCUUCGGAUUGUAAACCCCUGUUGCCCGGGACGAAUCCUGGUUUAAACCAGAUUGACGGUACCGGGUGAGGAAGCACCGGCUAACUCUGUGCCAGCAGCCGCGGUAAUACAGAGGGUGCGAGCGUUGUCCGGAAUCACUGGGCGUAAAGGGCGCGUAGGUGGCUUGCCAAGCGUGUGGUGAAAGCCCGGAGCUCAACUCCGGGUCUGCCAUGCGAACUGGCAGGCUAGAGCACGGUAGAGGCCAAUGGAAUUCCGGGUGUAGCGGUGGAAUGCGUAGAGAUCCGGAAGAACACCGGUGGCGAAGGCGGUUGGCUGGGCCGUUGCUGACACUGAUGCGCGACAGCGUGGGGAGCAAACAGGAUUAGAUACCCCUGUAGUCC
rnacentral:rRNA from 1 species